rnacentral:rRNA from 1 species
UACGUAGGGGGCAAGCGUUAUCCGGAUUCACUGGGCGUAAAGGGAGCGUAGACGGCCAUGCAAGCCUGGAGUGAAAGCCCGGGGCCCAACCCCGGGACUGCUCUGGGAACUGUGCGGCUAGAGUGCGGGAGGGGCAGGCGGAAUUCCUGGUGUAGCGGUGAAAUGCGUAGAUAUCAGGAGGAACACCGGCGGCGAAGGCGGCCUGCUGGACCGCGACUGACGUUGAGGCUCGAAAGCGUGGGGAGCAA